rnacentral:rRNA from 1 species
CCAUCACUGACGCUCAUGGACGAAAGCCAGGGGAGCGAAAGGGAUUAGAUACCCCUGUAGUCCUGGCCGUAAACGAUGAACACUAGGUGUCGGGGGAAUCGACCCCCUCGGUGUCGUAGCCAACGCGUUAAGUGUUCCGCCUGGGGAGUACGCACGCAAGUGUGAAACUCAAAGGAAUUGACGGGGGCCCGCACAAGCGGUGGAGUAUGUGGUUUAAUUCGAUGCAACGCGAAGAACCUUACCAGGGUUUGACAUCCUGCGAAUCUCUUGGAAACAGGAGAGUGCCUUCGGGAACGCAGUGACAGGUGGUGCAUGGCUGUCGUCAGCUCGUGUCGUGAGAUGUUGGGUUAAGUCCCGCAACGAGCGCAACCCACGUCUUUAGUCGCCAGCAUUUAGUUGGGCACUCUAGAGAGACUGCCGGUGAUAAACCGGAGGAAGGUGUGGAUGACGUCAAGUCAUCAUGCCCCUUACAUCCUGGGCUACACACGUACUACAAUGCUACGGACAAAGGGCAGCAAGUUCGCGAGGACAAGCAAAUCCCAUAAACCGUGGCUCAGUUCAGAUCGUAGGCUGCAACUCGCCUACGUGAAGGCGGAAUCGCUAGUAAUCGCAGGUCAGCAUACUGCGGUGAAUACGUUCCCGGGCCUUGUACACACCGCCCGUCACACCAUGGAAGUUGGCCACGCCCGAAGCCGUUACUCCAACCCUUGUGGAGGAGGACGUCGAAGGUGGGGCUGAUGACUGGGGUGAAGUCGUAACAAGGUAGCC